rnacentral:rRNA from 1 species
GACGAACGCUGGCGGCGUGCUUAACACAUGCAAGUCGAGCGGUAAGGCCCUUUCGGGGUACGACGAGCGGCGAACGGGUGAGUAACACGUGGGUGACCUGCCCUCCAGCUCUGGGAGUAAGACCUGGGAAACCGGGGUACUAAUACCGGAUAUGACUCCAUGACGCAUGUUGUGGGGUGGAAAGCCUUGUGCGGCUGAGGAUGGGCCCGCGGCCUAUCAGCUUGUUGGUGGGGUGAUGGCCUACCAAGGCGACGACGGGUAGCCGGCCUGAGAGGGCGA